CAGCCGCGGUAAUUCCAGCUCCAAUAGCGUAUACUUAAGUUGUUGCAGUUAAAAAGCUCGUAGUUGAAAUUCGAGUCAGUUACUAGUUGGCUCUUCGUCAGUUAGUUAAUUGAUUCUCCGUCUACAAUCCCUUUUGCGCUUUAGGGUUGCAGCUGGGCGAGUAGACAAUUUACCUUGAAAAAAUUAGAGUGUUCCAGGCAGGUCUUCGCCGGAAUACAUUAGCAUGGAAUAAUGGAAUAGGACUUGGGUCUUUUGUUGGUUUUAGGACUUGAGUAAUGAUUAAUAGGGACAGAUGGGGGCAUUAGUAUUUAAUUGUCAGAGGUGAAAUUCUUGGAUUUAUUAAAGACUAACUUAUGCGAAAGCAUUUGCCAAGGAUGUUUUCAUUAAUCAAGAACGAAAGUUAGGGGAUCAAAGACGAUCAGAUACCGUCGUAGUCUUAACUAUAAACUAUACCGACUCGAGAUCGGAAGGGUAAUAUAUUAGUCCCUUUCGGCAUCGUAAGAGAA
rnacentral:rRNA from 9 species